rnacentral:rRNA from 1 species
AACCAACAGGGAUUGCCUUAGUAGCGGCGAGUGAAGCGGCAAAAGCUCAAAUUUGAAAUCUGGCACCUUCGGUGUCCGAGUUGUAAUUUGAAGAUUGUAACCUUGGGGUUGGCUCUUGUCUAUGUUUCUUGGAACAGGACGUCACAGAGGGUGAGAAUCCCGUGCGAUGAGAUGCCCAAUCCUAUGUAAGGUGCUUUCGAAGAGUCGAGUUGUUUGGGAAUGCAGCUCUAAGUGGGUGGUAAAUUCCAUCUAAAGCUAAAUAUUGGCGAGAGACCGAUAGCGAACAAGUACAGUGAUGGAAAGAUGAAAAGAACUUUGAAAAGAGAGUGAAAAAGUACGUGAAAUUGUUGAAAGGGAAGGGUUUGAGAUCAGACUCGAUAUUUUGUGAGCCUUGCCUUCGUGGCGGGGUGACCCGCAGCUUAUCGGGCCAGCAUCGGUUUGGGCGGUAGGAUAAUGGCGUAGGAAUGUGACUUUGCUUCGGUGAAGUGUUAUAGCCUGCGUUGAUGCUGCCUGCCUAGACCGAGGACUGCGAUUUUUCAAGGA